rnacentral:rRNA from 1 species
GACGAACGCUGGCGGCGUGCCUAAUACAUGCAAGUUGAGCGCUGAAGGUUGGUACUUGUACCAACUGGAUGAGCAGCGAACGGGUGAGUAACGCGUGGGGAAUCUGCCUUUGAGCGGGGGACAACAUUUGGAAACGAAUGCUAAUACCGCAUAAAAACUUUAAACACAAGUUUUAAGUUUGAAAGAUGCAAUUGCAUCACUCAAAGAUGAUCCCGCGUUGUAUUAGCUAGUUGGUGAGGUAAAGGCUCACCAACGCGAUGAUACAUAGCCGACCUGAGAGGGUGAUCGGCCACAUUGGGACUGAGACACGGCCCAAACUCCUACGGGAGGCAGCAGUAGGGAAUCUUCGGCAAUGGACGAAAGUCUGACCGAGCAACGCCGCGGGAGUGAAGAAGGUUUUCGGAUCGGAAAACUCUGUUGGUAGAGAAGAACGUUGGUGAGAGUGGAAAGCUCAUCAAGUGACGGUAACUACCCAGAAAGGGACGGCUAACUACGUG